rnacentral:rRNA from 1 species
UGGGGAAUAUUGCACAAUGGGCGCAAGCCUGAUGCAGCGACGCCGCGUGAGGGAUGAAUGCCUUCGGGUUGUAAACCUCUUUCAGCAGGGAAGAAGCGAAAGUGACGGUACCUGCAGAAGAAGCGCCGGCUAACUACGUGCCAGCAGCCGCGGUAAUACGUAGGGCGCAAGCGUUGUCCGGAAUUAUUGGGCGUAAAGAGCUCGUAGGCGGUUUGUCGCGUCUGCUGUGAAAGCCCGGGGCUCAACCCCGGGUCUGCAGUGGGUACGGGCAGACUAGAGUGCAGUAGGGGAGACUGGAAUUCCUGGUGUAGCGGUGAAAUGCGCAGAUAUCAGGAGGAACACCGAUGGCGAAGGCAGGUCUCUGGGCUGUAACUGACGCUGAGGAGCGAAAGCAUGGGGAGCGAACA